UAGUCAUAUGCUUGUCUUAAAGAUUAAGCCAUGCACGUCUAAGGAUAAAUAUUUUUUAACCGUAAACCUGCGGAUGGCUCAUUAAAUCAGUUACAAUCUACUCUAUUGUAUAAAUUAUUUGGAUAACCGUAGUAAUUCUAGAGCUAAUACAUGCAAAAAAUUUGAACUCGCAAGGGAACAAAUGUAUUUAUUAAGGAGCAAAAUCAAUACAGACCAUUCCAAACUCUAGAUUAUACUUUAAUCGGUAUUUUUUAGGGGGUUUGUAAACAAAAAUUGAAGAAUCAUAGUAAACUUACGAAUCAUAAAUUUAAUUAUUUAUUGAUGAUAGGAACGAGUUUCUGACCUAUUAACUUUCGAUGGUAAUUUAGUGGAUUACCAUGGUUUUCAUGGGUAACGGAGAAUUUGGGUUUGAUUCCGGAGAAAAGGCCUGAGAGACGGCCAUUACUUCCAAGGAAGGCAGCAGGCGCGUAAAUUACCCAAUCCCAAUUCGGGGAGGUAGUGACGAGAAAUACUAGUAUUGGUCCCAACGGGAACAAUGAUUGGAAUGAGAACAAUUUAAAAACAUUAACGACUAACAAUUGGAGGGCAAGUCUGGUGAACGUUACAGUUUCAAAAAAUUUGAUUGCUGGCGCCAGAAAUAGGGAGUCCUCUUAAUUUGUAAAAUGACGCAAAGAAAAACAAGAAUAGUCGGAGGCUAGGAUGUUGGGAACAUUCACUGUCUAGACUACCCUUUUUUUUCGAAUGUUGUGAACAUUCUUUAUUAUCCCUAGUCGAAUAGUGUGUACAUCAAUCAAGUGAUUUGCAGAACAGGAUGUACGAAUGCUUCCUUGAAAAGUUUCUUUUCACAGGGGGAAGACAUUUAGCUAUCGGCGACACAACCUGGUACGAGGAAGGCCCUGAGAGGGUUAAUCUCGUGGCGAGAUAGAGUUACGUCUAUCCGUCGUAACGCGCGGUAAGGUGUGGGUCAACAAUUGUUGGCUUAAGGAACGUGCUAGUCCCCCCGUAAGGGUGUCUGAUUUAUGGAGCGCUGUUCAAUCGUAAAGUAAUCAGAGGUACAAUAUCACUUGAGUAAAUUCUUGUGUUGAAAAAUUUCAUGUGUUUUGGGCCUAACUGGGAGGUAAACUCUUUUAAUUAGGAACAUUCUGCAUGGGUACCGGUAUGGGGAAAAGUGUUUGGAAUUUUUAAAAAACGGCCAGCAGCCGCGGUAACUCCAGCUCCAAGAGUGUAUAUUAAAGUUGUUGCGGUUAAAAAGCUCGUAGUUGGACUUGAGGGAUUUACAUUAAAGGAUCUUAGUUUUAAAGCUAAGUAUCUUUCUAUGUUUUUUCCUUUCUUUUUAUUUUUUAGAGAAGGGGCAACUCUUCUGUGGGAAUAGAUAGUUUACUUUGAAAAAAUUAGAGUGUUUAAAGCAGACAUGACAUGUACAAUUGAAUAUUACAGCAUGGGAUAAUAGAAUAGGACAUUAACCUUAAUUUUGUUGGUUUUGAAGGUUAAUAGUAAUGAUUAAAAGGGAUAGUUGGGGUCACUUGUAUUUGAUCGCUAGGGGUGAAAUCCUAUGAUUGCUCAAAGACAAACUACUGCGAAAGCAUUUGACAAGGAUGUUUUCAUUGAUCAAGAACGAAAGUUAGGGGAUCGAAGAUGAUUAGAUACCGUCGUAGUCUUAACCAUAAACAAUGUCGACUUUGGAUUAGGAAAUAUUACAUGGAUGAUUUUCCUAGCACAAUAUGAGAAAUCAUAAGUAUUCAGACUCCGGGGGGAGUAUGGUCGCAAGAGUGAAACUUAAAGGAAUUGACGGAAGGGCACCACCAGGAGUGGAACCUGCGGCUUAAUUUGACUCAACACGGGGAAACUUACCGGGUCCGGACACUUUGAGGAUUGACAGAUUGAUAGCUCUUUCUUGAUUAAGUGGGUGGUGGUGCAUGGCCGUUUUUAGUUGGUGGAUUGAUUUGUCUGGUUAAUUCCGAAAACGAACGAGACCUUAACCUAUUAAAUAGUAUAUUUAAAAUUGAAUACAAAUUCUUGAAAUUUGAAAAAAAGAAAUGGAUACUUCUUAAAGGGACUCUUCAUAUUUUAGUGAAUGGAAGUUUAAGGCAAAAACAGGUCUGUGAUGCCCUUAGAUGUUCCGGGCUGCACGCGCGUUACACUGAUGCGAUCAAAAAGUUUAAUUUAAAUUUCCUUAUUUGAAAAGAUUGGGUAAACUCAGAAAUCGUAUCGUGAUUGGGAUAGUGCUUUGUAAUUAUCGCACUCGAACGAGGAAUUCCUAGUAGGUGCAAGUCAUCAUCUUGCUCCGAUUACGUCCCCGCCCUUUGUACACACCGCCCGUCGCUCCUACCGAUUGAAUAAUCCGAUGAGGAUUCAAGAUAGAGAUUUCUUAUUUGUCUGAAAGGAUAAAAAAGAAUUUUUUUAGAAUUUGUUCAAAUCUUAUUAUUUAGAGGAAGGAGAAGUCGUAACAAGGUUUCC
rnacentral:rRNA from 1 species